rnacentral:misc_RNA from 1 species
UUACAUAUCAAAAUGAUUAGCCAAUUUAAUGUUACAAUCCAGCUAUAUAUAUUUUGCCCUUUCAUUUCAUACUUUACCCAUGGGGGAUUUCCAACAAAAAUGCUUUUUGAAAAGGUAUCGUUUUAGAUGUUUAAAAAAAAAAAAAAAGCCAUUUAAAGAAGUUACAGUUGUUUUGGAGUCUUAAUGAUUAAAACAAAUCAAA